CUCCACAUUUUAUCAAUCCCAUUUUCUUUUGCUGCAUACAGGCACAACAGGGGAGAUAGAGAGAGGAGUGAGAGUCUGAGAGAGACGAGGACGAGAGAACGGAGCGACCGUGAUGGAAGACGAGAGAACGGAGCGACCGUGAUGGAAGAACCAGCGCCAAACGCCGCUAACUGAACCAGACGUCUGAGAUGACGGCGGCGAGUUCUAGAGUCCUGAUCUGUCAAUUGGUCGCCGGUUGUAGCUUCUCCAUGGAAUUUGGCUGGUUAACGGGGAUAAUCCGGUGGAUCUGGCGACUGAGUUGGGUUCUGGUGUUUUUCAGUGCUCAAGGUUGUUAGAUCGGGUCAUCAGACUACAUGAUAGGGAAAUCUUCCGGCAGUGAACACAUGCUAUUUGAAAUGCAAGUCAAUGAUGGGUGCGACUAAAUCAAAGGUACCUUGGUGCAAGAGAGGUAAACUCAUAACUCAUAUUGCUUUAGGGCUCAUGUAUGUCUUUAAAUAUACAUUAUAUCUGGAUUCAUGGAACUUCAUGUUGAAUUUAAGAAUAUUAGCAAGUAUAUCUAAACCUUAAUUUGUGUUUUUUGAAGUUUACUGAAACCCUAAAUUGUAUCAUCUUGAUUAUACCUGGUGUGGUUUGAUUUAAACUUUCCAAAUUUUGAGAAGAAUUGGAGGCACUAAGACUGUGGGGUAUGGGGCUUGGGUUGGGGGAAAACGCCCAAGCCACCACCCCUUGGGGCUUGGGUUGGGGCGUGGCCCUUGGGGCUUGGGUUUGAAGCCGGGCGUGGGGCGGGCUUGGGUUUGAUGUGGCGGCCUCCUAUUCGCCUUGGGUUUUAAAUUUUAUAUAUAUUUUAAUAACCUGCAACCCACGUGGUGCACCCACGCCCCGCCAUACCCCACGGACACGUCACUAGGCGGUGGGCGGGCUCGAACUCCACGUGUCAACUCAUCCCCCAACCCAAGCCCCGCCAUACCCCACGGACACGUCACUAUUUGCUAUGUUUUAACUCAAUAUCAUUUGUUGUGUGUUGUUUCAAUUUCUCUGCAGUAACAAAGCAUGUGAUUUACGAACCGCUUGCUGAAGGUAAUGUUUCAUUCUCAUUCGACUUUAGAUGAUUAAAAGACUGAAACAAAAUGGGUUGCUAGGACAAAUUUUAUGUGAUUGUUUUGGCGUGAGGUUGAAUAUGUGUUCAUUUCUGUUUUUUGUGUUUUAAAGGGAAUUAAAGUAAUUUUUGUGUCGUGUUCCAGUUCUGAUCAGAACCGAACAAGAGAACGAAACUUUUAUGAGUUGAUUUUGGUGUCAACCCCGGACAAAAUGGUAGGUAUAAUUUUGGUUCUCUUGAUCUUUUGUGUUCCGGUUAUUAGACCUCGUGAGUUGAUUUUGGUGUCAACCCCGGACAAAAUGGUCAAAUGGGAUGGGUUACAAUGUAAAAUUGACUCAAUAAAAAAAACAAGCAAAUGAGAAUCCCUUUUGGGAAUCCAGCACUUUUGACACCAUAUCGAAGGUUUUGUACAUUCUUUUUGGGAUAGAGUGUCUUCUUACUGCAUUUAAUUUAGGCAUUUAAUUUUGUUAUAGUGGAAUAUACAUACAACUUAAUUGAAUUGAUUUCUUUCGAACAAUUGUUUUCGAUCGAUAUAAAUAUCAUGUGUUGAUAUCGA